UGUCCUACGGGGGGCAGCAGUGAGGAAUAUUGGUCAAUGGUCGGGAGACUGAACCAGCCAAGCCGCGUGAGGGAUGAAGGUACAGAGUAUCGUAAACCUCUUUUGUCGGGGAGCAAAUUCCGCCACGUGUGGCGGAGUCGAGAGUACCCGAAGAAAAAGCAUCGGCUAACUCCGUGCCAGCAGCCGCGGUAAUACGGAGGAUGCGAGCGUUAUCCGGAUUUAUUGGGUUUAAAGGGUGCGUAGGCGGACUGUCAAGUCAGCGGUAAAAUCCGGGGGCUCAACCUCCGCCCGCCGUUGAAACUGCC
rnacentral:rRNA from 1 species